UACAGAGGGGGCAAGCGUUGUUCGGAAUUACUGGGCGUAAAGGGCGCGUAGGCGGCCUGCUAAGUCGAACGUGAAAUCCCUGGGCUUAACCCAGGAACUGCGUCCGAUACUGGCAGGCUUGAAUCCGGGAGAGGGAUGCGGAAUUCCAGGUGUAGCGGUGAAAUGCGUAGAUAUCUGGAGGAACACCGGUGGCGAAGGCGGCAUCCUGGACCGGCAUUGACGCUGAGGCGCGAAAGCGUGGGGAGCGAACAGG
rnacentral:rRNA from 1 species